rnacentral:rRNA from 1 species
UACGUAGGGUGCAAGCGUUGUCCGGAAUUAUUGGGCGUAAAGAGCUCGUAGGCGGUUUGUCGCGUCUGCUGUGAAAACGCGAGGCUCAACCUCGCGCCUGCAGUGGGUACGGGCAGACUAGAGUGCGGUAGGGGAGAUUGGAAUUCCUGGUGUAGCGGUGGAAUGCGCAGAUAUCAGGAGGAACACCGAUGGCGAAGGCAGAAUCUCUGGGCCGUAACUGACGCUGAGGAGCGAAAGCAUGGGAGCGAACAG